CAAUGCAAAAAAAAUCUCCCAUUUCCAUCUCCCUCAGGCACCAUCUCAUGAUUUCAUCCGUGUGCUUAGUGAUCAGGAUCCAGAAGGUCUGGUGGUGAGCGCCAUCUCUGGGGACCAACAAAUCUAAGGGUGGGGAUUUGGGUGGUGUGUGUGUGGGGGGGACAAUGUGACCGAAAACAACAAACAGGAAGCUGGUGGCAUCCUGGUGGCUGUGAUGGGCGGGGCUGUGGGUGGAGGGCACCCCUCUGAGGAUGAUGAGACGAGCAGAUGACAAGAAUCGGCCCGUAAACAAAUUGCGUAAAAAAAGCCUCCCCCACACACGCUGGUGUAGAUAUCAGCAGGCAGAGAUGCUCCUCCAGCAGAUGCAGCGCAGCUUCAGGACCAUGCUGGUUACCAUAGCAACCACCUGUCUUCUGGCCCUGGCGGCGACCAGUCCCGUCCCUCCGGCGCAGUACGAGCAGUAUCCUAUGUUUCCGUCUCCAAAUGCAACCGAGCAAAGAAACGUUCUGCCCACAGAGCCCGCAGCUGUACUGAGGAACCAGGUUGACACCACAACUGCAAUUGUAGCAGAACAGACAGUGAGUCUCUCACACACACACACACACACACACACACUCACACACACACACACACACACAAUGCUGUGUUUCUCGGUGCUCACACAAUCCCGUACGCCAUCUUCAGGAUGCUGCGCCUCCGACAAGCAGCUCUUCAGAGUCCGACACGUCAGAGAGCCAGUCGAGCGAGGUGCACACACGCACACACACACACACACACACACACACACACACACUCGUUCACGUACCGCUGCAACUGACUUGUUUCUUCAUCAGAGCUCCCCUGAGGACACCAGUGAGGAAUCACCGGAGAACCUAGUAUGAAAACACACACAUUGCGUGUAUUGCUGGUCCCCUGUUGAAUCUGUGUGCUGAUUUGAUGAACUGUCUGUGACCCUCAGGCAUUGGAACAGAUGAUCCCACCUGAUCAGAUGACAGAGCUUCAGCCUUCAACCACUGAAGACACGACAUCAGAGGAAAUAGCUGUGGCUGCCGAGCCCCAGCUGCUGCAGCGGGGCGGGGUGGAGUCUGAUGGAGAAAUGCAAGAUGACAGCCGAGGGGGAGAUGAGAUAUGGCACAAGAGGAAGAUUGGGGUUCUCAACCAGAUUCCCUUUAACACCCAUCCCUUGGUUGCUGUUGGAUUUGCUCCUCUGGCAGCCACUAGGGCUGCUCCCCUGGAGACGAAGGUCACCGACAGUGUGGAGAGCAGGGAGUGUUUGUUAAUGACAGAUAAUGGAGGGUGUGUUCAGGAUGGUCAACUGGGUCCUACUGCUAGGGACAACCAGCCAGACCCAAGCCAUGGUCUUCAGACAAUGGCUGAAGAGCGAGGAGAGCUCCACCUGUAGAAGAACCAACUUCCGUUUCUGCUUUUCUAUAUAUUUUUAAAACUGCUAACAUAUCAUAGUUGCUCUGACAUGAAUCCAUUUAAACCGAACAGCUGAGCCACUUUAAACCUAGAUGUCUGUGUGGGUGUGUAGAGUGGAAGUUCUCUGCAGUCUGGUUGCAGAUGAGGUUAACAUCUGACCUGAACCCUGCAGGGACCGUUUACAGCUUCUGAACUGAAUUUCAGAACGGGGGACAUCACACCUUGCUGCAGCUUUAAAUAGAAACGUGUGGACGUUGUUUCGUUUGAUGCCAUUGAUGUCCAGUUGCUGCCUGCCUGUCCCACCUUCUCACGUCUUCUGGUUUUCAUUAGAAUGUGGUGGACAGAUAUAAAUACCACGCCAAUUUUCAUCCGAGUGAAUAAAACACUGCUGUACAACCUGCUGCCUUUUCUC
ensembl:lncRNA uncharacterized LOC114790406